AUUGAACGCUGGCGGCAGGCCUAACACAUGCAAGUCGAGCGGAUGAGGGGAGCUUGCUCCUGGAUUCAGCGGCGGACGGGUGAGUAAUGCCUAGGAAUCUGCCUGGUAGUGGGGGAUAACGUCCGGAAACGGGCGCUAAUACCGCAUACGUCCUGAGGGAGAAAGUGGGGGAUCUUCGGACCUCACGCUAUCAGAUGAGCCUAGGUCGGAUUAGCUAGUUGGUGGGGUAAAGGCCUACCAAGGCGACGAUCCGUAACUGGUCUGAGAGGAUGAUCAGUCACACUGGAACUGAGACACGGUCCAGACUCCUACGGGAGGCAGCAGUGGGGAAUAUUGGACAAUGGGCGAAAGCCUAAUCCAGCCAUGCCGCGUGUGUGAAGAAGGUCUUCGGAUUGUAAAGCACUUUAAGUUGGGAGGAAGGGCAGUAAGUUAAUACCUUGCUGUUUUGACGUUACCAACAGAAUAAGCACCGGCUAACUUCGUG
rnacentral:rRNA from 1 species